UCAUCGGAAUCGUUCUCAAGCCGCGACGAAGUCUUUGCAAAACUCGAGGAAAACAGUGGAAUUGUGGAUUGUCAGAGUACACGUGACACAAUGAUGUACGCGGCGAGCUGCCAUCGUGACGGAGUGGAUUCUGUAAUUCACGUACUAUCCGACACUAUUUGGAAGCCAAUUUUUGACGAACAAAGUCUCGAACAGGCGAAACUAACAGUUUCCUACGAGAAUCAAGAUCUACCGAAUCGAAUUGAAGCCAUCGAAAUUCUCCUUACUGACUGGAUUCAUCAAGCGGCUUUUCAGAAUAAUACUAUAGGAUAUCCGAAAUUUGGCAACAAUUCGAUGGAUAAAAUUCGAGUUUCUGAUGUUUAUGGGUUUUUGAGCAGAGCUCAUACUCCUCAAAGAAUGGUUGUUGGAGG
rnacentral:sRNA from 1 species